CAGUAUUCUCAGCUCUUUACUCUGUAUACAAUGCUUUUCAUUAUUUGUCUUUUUGCUAUAUUCAUGGGUAAGUUUUUACAAACAAAUGUUUUGAACUUUUUUUUAGAAAUGUUUAAAUUAUGCAAUGAAAGUACAAGGAUAUCUAUUGAAUGUCCCUUUAAUAACUAUUCAUGUUAUAUUGAACAAGAUAAUAAAAAGAAUCAACCUUAGCUAUAACAGUUAAAUUUUGAAUGUCAAAUGUAAGUUUUAAUUUAUCUUAUGCUAUUGUUCAUGUUUUCUUAAAAUUUACCCUAAUUACUGGUAUUUCCAAAAUUGAUUUUAUAUUGCAGAUGCUCACAGCAUCCCCAAUGUUCACAAACCAGCAGAACUGGAAUCUUUUAAGGGGCAGGUUGCUGAAAUACAUUGUAAUCAUUCAAUCAAAACAUAUGACAAACUAUUAUGGUACAAAGUCCACCAGAAUCUCACACUCGAACAUAUCAUGUCUGGUGUUGACUCAGCAGAAGAUAGUGGACAUUUCAGUAUGGCUUCUAACAGAGCUAAGCUCUUAACAACUCUCAUCAUCAGGAAUGUACAGAUCCUUCAUACUGGGACAUAUUACUGUGCUGUGAGUGAUGCACAGUGACAGAUGACAACAUGAUACAUGUCAAAAAACCUUACACAACAUUGUAUUUCAUUGAACUCCUGGGACAAUGACACAACUUUCUCGACAGCCUGUGCUUCUUUCUAGAUUGAAAUCCAUUUGACAGACUUAAUAACAUACAUUUCCUUUCAAGAUCAUAAUGUUAUUUUCAUUAUUUGGCAUGUUCGUUUAUUUAAUCUUCCCCCAAACUGCUUGUAUCAUUUAACAGCAAAGCAAAUCUAUGUUAUUGUAACUAUUGAACUUUCACAGAGAACAUGCUGAAAAUCUAAUAAUUUUG